GUUAUAUGGUCAAGUGAAGAAGCGCAUACGGUGGAUGCCUUGGCAGUCAGAGGCGAUGAAAGACGUGGUAGCCUGCGAAAAGCUUCGGGGAGUCGGCAAACAGACUUUGAUCCGGAGAUCUCUGAAUGGGGGAACCCACCUAGGAUAACCUAGGUAUCUUGUACUGAAUCCAUAGGUGCAAGAGGCGAACCAGGGGAACUGAAACAUCUAAGUACCCUGAGGAAAAGAAAUCAACCGAGAUUCCCUUAGUAGUGGCGAGCGAACGGGGAUUAGCCCUUAAACUUCAUUGAUUUUAGCGGAACGCUCUGGAAAGUGCGGCCAUAGUGGGUGAUAGCCCCGUACGCGAAAGGAUCUUUGAAGUGAAAUCGAGUAGGACGGAGCACGAGAAACUUUGUCUGAACAUGGGGGGACCAUCCUCCAAGGCUAAAUACUACUGACUGACCGAUAGUGAACCAGUACCGUGAGGGAAAGGCGAAAAGAACCCCGGAGAGGGGAGUGAAAUAGAACCUGAAACCGUAUGCGUACAAGCAGUGGGAGCCUACUUGUUAGGUGACUGCGUACCUUUUGUAUAAUGGGUCAGCGACUUAUAUUCAGUGGCAAGCUUAACCGUAUAGGGUAGGCGUAGCGAAAGCGAGUCUUAAUAGGGCGUUUAGUCGCUGGGUAUAGACCCGAAACCGGGCGAUCUAUCCAUGAGCAGGUUGAAGGUUAGGUAACACUGACUGGAGGACCGAACCCACUCCCGUUGAAAAGGUAGGGGAUGACUUGUGGAUCGGAGUGAAAGGCUAAUCAAGCUCGGAGAUAGCUGGUUCUCCUCGAAAGCUAUUUAGGUAGCGCCUCAUGUAUCACUCUGGGGGGUAGAGCACUGUUUCGGCUAGGGGGUCAUCCCGACUUACCAAACCGAUGCAAACUCCGAAUACCCAGAAGUGCCGAGCAUGGGAGACACACGGCGGGUGCUAACGUCCGUCGUGAAAAGGGAAACAACCCAGACCGCCAGCUAAGGUCCCAAAGUUGUGGUUAAGUGGUAAACGAUGUGGGAAGGCUUAGACAGCUAGGAGGUUGGCUUAGAAGCAGCCAUCCUUUAAAGAAAGCGUAAUAGCUCACUAGUCGAGUCGGCCUGCGCGGAAGAUGUAACGGGGCUCAAACCACACACCGAAGCUGCGGGUGUCACGUAAGUGACGCGGUAGAGGAGCGUUCUGUAAGCCUGUGAAGGUGAGUUGAGAAGCUUGCUGGAGGUAUCAGAAGUGCGAAUGCUGACAUGAGUAACGACAAUGGGUGUGAAAAACACCCACGCCGAAAGACCAAGGGUUCCUGCGCAACGUUAAUCGACGCAGGGUUAGUCGGUUCCUAAGGCGAGGCUGAAAAGCGUAGUCGAUGGGAAACAGGUUAAUAUUCCUGUACUUCUGGUUACUGCGAUGGAGGGACGGAGAAGGCUAGGCCAGCUUGGCGUUGGUUGUCCAAGUUUAAGGUGGUAGGCUGAAAUCUUAGGUAAAUCCGGGGUUUCAAGGCCGAGAGCUGAUGACGAGUCGUCUUUUAGAUGACGAAGUGGUUGAUGCCAUGCUUCCAAGAAAAGCUUCUAAGCUUCAGGUAACCAGGAACCGUACCCCAAACCGACACAGGUGGUCGGGUAGAGAAUACCAAGGCGCUUGAGAGAACUCGGGUGAAGGAACUAGGCAAAAUGGCACCGUAACUUCGGGAGAAGGUGCGCCGGCUAGGGUGAAGGAUUUACUCCGUAAGCUCUGGCUGGUCGAAGAUACCAGGCCGCUGCGACUGUUUAUUAAAAACACAGCACUCUGCAAACACGAAAGUGGACGUAUAGGGUGUGACGCCUGCCCGGUGCCGGAAGGUUAAUUGAUGGGGUUAGCGCAAGCGAAGCUCUUGAUCGAAGCCCCGGUAAACGGCGGCCGUAACUAUAACGGUCCUAAGGUAGCGAAAUUCCUUGUCGGGUAAGUUCCGACCUGCACGAAUGGCGUAACGAUGGCGGCGCUGUCUCCACCCGAGACUCAGUGAAAUUGAAAUCGCUGUGAAGAUGCAGUGUAUCCGCGGCUAGACGGAAAGACCCCGUGAACCUUUACUGUAGCUUUGCACUGGACUUUGAGCCUGCUUGUGUAGGAUAGGUGGGAGGCUUUGAAGCGUGGACGCCAGUUCGCGUGGAGCCAUCCUUGAAAUACCACCCUGGCAUGCUUGAGGUUCUAACUCUGGUCCGUGAUCCGGAUCGAGGACAGUGUAUGGUGGGCAGUUUGACUGGGGCGGUCUCCUCCUAAAGAGUAACGGAGGAGUACGAAGGUGCGCUCAGACCGGUCGGAAAUCGGUCGCAGAGUAUAAAGGCAAAAGCGCGCUUGACUGCGAGACAGACACGUCGAGCAGGUACGAAAGUAGGUCUUAGUGAUCCGGUGGUUCUGUAUGGAAGGGCCAUCGCUCAACGGAUAAAAGGUACUCCGGGGAUAACAGGCUGAUACCGCCCAAGAGUUCAUAUCGACGGCGGUGUUUGGCACCUCGAUGUCGGCUCAUCACAUCCUGGGGCUGAAGCCGGUCCCAAGGGUAUGGCUGUUCGCCAUUUAAAGUGGUACGCGAGCUGGGUUUAGAACGUCGUGAGACAGUUCGGUCCCUAUCUGCCGUGGACGUUUGAGAUUUGAGAGGGGCUGCUCCUAGUACGAGAGGACCGGAGUGGACGAACCUCUGGUGUUCCGGUUGUCACGCCAGUGGCAUUGCCGGGUAGCUAUGUUCGGAAAAGAUAACCGCUGAAAGCAUCUAAGCGGGAAACUUGCCUCAAGAUGAGAUCUCACUGGGAACUUGAUUCCCCUGAAGGGCCGUCGAAGACUACGACGUUGAUAGGCUGGGUGUGUAAGCGUUGUGAGGCGUUGAGCUAACCAGUACUAAUUGCCCGUGAGGCUUGACCAUAUAACACCCAAACA
rnacentral:rRNA from 1 species